GACGAACGCUGGCGGCGUGCUUAACACAUGCAAGUCGAGCGGAAAGGCCCUUCGGGGUACUCGAGCGGCGAACGGGUGAGUAACACGUGAGUAACCUGCCCCAGACUUUGGGAUAACCCUCGGAAACGGGGGCUAAUACCGGAUACGACACAGCUUCGCAUGGGGUCUGUGUGGAAAGUUUUUCGGUUUGGUAUGGGCUCGCGGCCUAUCAGCUUGUUGGUGGGGUGAUGGCCUACCAAGGCGACGACGGGUAGCCGGCCUGAGAGGGCGACCGGCCACACUGGGACUGAGACACGGACCAGACUCCUACGGGAGGCAGCAGUGGGGAAUAUUGCACAAUGGGCGGAAGCCUGAUGCAGCGACGCCGCGUGAGGGAUGACGGCCUUCGGGUUGUAAACCUCUUUCAGCAGGGACGAAGCGUAAGUGACGGUACCUGCAGAAGAAGCGCCGGCCAACUACGUG
rnacentral:rRNA from 1 species